CAAGUUACUGAGAUGAUUGAGCUGACAUGGUAAUGUAGAUGUUAAGUCAGUCUGACAUACCAAGUCAGCGUAAAUGUCAUAAAUGCCUUUAGUUGUUUGCUGGCUGCCUUUAAUUAAGGAAAUAGAUGAUUUGGACCAUUCAUAUGGUCCUUCUAUUAGCUAUAUAAAAAGUUCCUUGUGGCCUUUUAUCUCACUUUACAGCCUUAUUGCUCUCAUGUCGAGCUAUUUUUUAUCGAUUUCCUACUUUC
rnacentral:lncRNA from 1 species